rnacentral:rRNA from 1 species
UACGUAGGGGGCAAGCGUUGUCCGGAAUCAUUGGGCGUAAAGCGCGUGUAGGCGGCCCGAUAAGUCCGCUGUGAAAGUCCAGGGCUCAACCCUGGAAUGCCGGUGGAUACUGUCGGGCUCGAGUCCGGAAGAGGCGAGUGGAAUUCCUGGUGUAGCGGUGAAAUGCGUAGAUAUCAGGAGGAACACCUGUGGUGUAGACGGCUCUCUGGACCGCAACUGACGCUGAGACACGAAAGCGUGGGUAGCAAACAGG